GUGGGGAAUAUUGGGCAAUGGGCGCAAGCCUGACCCAGCAACGCCGCGUGAGGGAAGAAGGCUUUCGGGUUGUAAACCUCUGUCCUUGGUGACGAAAAAAAUGACGGUAGCCAAGGAGGAAGCCCCGGCUAACUACGUGCCAGCAGCCGCGGUAAUACGUAGGGGGCGAGCGUUGUCCGGAAUUACUGGGCGUAAAGGGUGCGUAGGUGGCCUUUUAAGUUGGAUGUGAAAUACCCGGGCUUAACUUGGGGGGUGCAGCCAAAACUGGGAGGCUAGAGUGCAGGAGAGGAAAGCGGAAUUCCUAGUGUAGCGGUGAAAUGCGUAGAUAUUAGGAGGAACACCAGUGGCGAAGGCGGCUUUCUGGACUGUAACUGACACUGAGGCACGAAAGCGUGGGGAGCAAACAGGAUUAGAAACCCGGGUAGUCC
rnacentral:rRNA from 1 species